rnacentral:tRNA from 1 species
GUGGGUAUAGCUCAGUGGUAGAGCACAUGCUUAGCAUGCACAAGGUCCUGGGUUCAAUCGCCAGUACCUCA